rnacentral:rRNA from 1 species
AUUGAACGCUGGCGGCAUGCUUUACACAUGCAAGUCGAACGGUAACAGGGAGCUUGCUCCGCUGACGAGUGGCGAACGGGUGAGUAAUGCGUCGGAACGUGCCGAGUAGUGGGGGAUAACGCAUCGAAAGGUGUGCUAAUACCGCAUACGAACUGAGGUUGAAAGUGGGGGACCUUCGGGCCUCACGCUAUUCGAGCGGCCGACGUCUGAUUAGCUAGUUGGUGAGGUAAAGGCUCACCAAGGCGACGAUCAGUAGCGGGUCUGAGAGGAUGAUCCGCAACACUGGGACUGGGACACGGCCCAGACUCCUACGGGAGGCAGCAGUGGGGAAUUUUGGACAAUGGGCGCAAGCCUGAUCCAGCCAUGCCGCGUGUCUGAAGAAGGCCUUCGGGUUGUAAAGGACUUUUGUCCGGGAGCAAAUGCUGGUGGCUAACAUCCACCGGAGCUGAGAGUACCGGAAGAAUAAGCACCUGCAAACUACGUGCCAGCCGCCGCCGUAAAAC